rnacentral:rRNA from 1 species
UACGGAGGGUGCAAGCGUUAAUCGGAAUUACUGGGCGUAAAGGGUGCGUAGGUGGUUUGAUAAGUUAUCUGUGAAAUUCCUGGGCUCAACCUGGGGUGGUCAAAUAAGACUGUUAGACUCGAGUAUAGGAGAGGGUAGUGGAAUUUCCGGUGUAGCGGUGAAAUGCGUAGAGAUCGGAAGGAACACCAGUGGCGAAGGCGGCUACCUGGCCUGAUACUGACACUGAGGCACGAAAGCGUGGGGAGCAAACAGG